GAUGAACGCUGGCGGCGUGCCUAAUACAUGCAAGUCGAGCGAACAGACGAGGAGCUUGCUCCUUUGACGUUAGCGGCGGACGGGUGAGUAACACGUAGGUAACCUACCUAUAAGACUGGGAUAACUUCGGGAAACCGGAGCUAAUACCGGAUAAUAUUUCGAACCGCAUGGUUCGAUAGUGAAAGAUGGCUUUGCUAUCACUUAUAGAUGGACCUGCGCCGUAUUAGCUAGUUGGUAAGGUAACGGCUUGCCAAGGCAACGAUACGUAGCCGACCUGAGAGGGGGAUCGGCCACACUGGAACUGAGACGCGGUCCAGACUCCGACGGAAGGCAGCAGUAGGGAAUCUACCGCAAUGGGCGAAAGCCUGACGGAGCAACGCCGCGUGAGUGAAGAAGGUCUGCGGAUCGUAAAACUCUGUUAUUAGGGAAGAACAAACGUGUAAGUAACUGUGCACGUCUUGACGGUACCUAAACAGAAAGCCACGGCAAACUACGU
rnacentral:rRNA from 1 species